GAUUCGUCACACUAUCGUUAACUGAAUACAUAGGUUAACGAGGCGAACCGGGGGAACUGAAACAUCUAAGUACCCCGAGGAAAAGAAAUCAACCGAGAUUCCCCCAGUAGCGGCGAGCGAACGGGGAGCAGCCCAGAGUCUGAAUCAGCUUGUGUGUUAGUGGAACGGUCUGGAAAGUCCGACGGUACAGGGUGAUAGUCCCGUACACCAAAAUGCACAGGCUGUGAACUCGAAGAGUAGGGCGGGACACGUGGUAUCCUGUCUGAAUAUGGGGGGACCAUCCUCCAAGGCUAAAUACUCCUGACUGACCGAUAGUGAACCAGUACCGUGAGGGAAAGGCGAAAAGAACCCCGGCGAGGGGAGUGAAAAAGAACCUGAAACCGUGUACGUACAAGCAGUGGGAGCACCUUUAUGGUGUGACUGCGUACCUUUUGUAUAAUGGGUCAGCGACUUAUAUUCUGUAGCAAGGUUAACCGUAUAGGGGAGCCGCAGGGAAACCGAGUCUUAACUGGGCGUUAAGUUGCAGGGUAUAGACCCGAAACCCGGUGAUCUAGCCAUGGGCAGGUUGAAGGUUGGGUAACACUAACUGGAGGACCGAACCGACUAAUGUUGAAAAAUUAGCGGAUGACUUGUGGCUGGGGGUGAAAGGCCAAUCAAACCGGGAGAUAGCUGGUUCUCCCCGAAAGCUAUUUAGGUAGCGCCUCGUGAACUCAUCUUCGGGGGUAGAGCACUGUUUCGGCUAGGGGGUCAUCCCGACUUACCAACCCGAUGCAAACUACGAAUACCGAAGAAUGUUAUCACGGGAGACACACGGCGGGUGCUAACGUCCGUCGUGAAGAGGGAAACAACCCAGACCGCCAGCUAAGGUCCCAAAGUCAUGGUUAAGUGGGAAACGAUGUGGGAAGGCACAGACAGCCAGGAUGUUGGCUUAGAAGCAGCCAUCAUUUAAAGAAAGCGUAAUAGCUCACUGGUCGAGUCGGCCUGCGCGGAAGAUGUAACGGGGCUAAACCAUG
rnacentral:rRNA from 1 species